rnacentral:rRNA from 1 species
UGGGGAAUAUUGGACAAUGGGCGAAAGCCUGAUCCAGCAAUACCGCGUGAGUGAUGAAGGUCUUCGGAUUGUAAAGCUCUUUUAGUGGAGAAGAUAAUGACGGUAUCCACAGAAAAAGCACCGGCAAACUUCGUGCCAGCAGCCGCGGUAAUACGAAGGGUGCUAGCGUUGUUCGGAAUCAUUGGGCGUAAAGCGUGCGUAGGCGGCUUGGUAAGUCGUUUGUGAAAUCCCGAGGCUUAACUUCGGAAUUGCAAUCGAAACUGCCUUGCUUGAGUUUAGUGGGGGAUAGUGGAAUUCCUAGUGUAGGGGUGAAAUCCGUAGAUAUUAGGGGGAACAUCAGUGGCGAAAGCGACUAUCUACGCUAACACUGACGCUGAGGUACGAAAGCGUGGGGAGCAAA